AACCUGCCUCGCUACCGCGCCACCACGUCUCGCCAUCGAAUCAACCCGCUGCUACCACUGUCACGGAGAAGAGGCGUCGAAGGGGGGCAGAACUCGAGUCUCGUCGCCGCCGUCCAUGGGGCCUCGAGCUGCGUCGCUGUCACCAGCAAGAGGGGGAAGACGCGAGCUGGAGGAGCAAGAUGAGUCCUUCUGCCUCCGUUGUUCUGGUCCGCUGAGAAAGGAAAGAUGCUACCUUUGUGCUUCACAGUCGCCGACGAGAACGGAGAAGAGGAGCUGUGACCGCGUCACUGCCGUUUGGAGGGCUAUGCUUGGCUGCCGUUGUACCGCCCUGCUUCACCGUGGCUGAGCUCUGCCACUCCCAGCCCUUUUUGGCUUGUGAUGUUGUUGCGGGAAUCGCUACAGGAAGAGGAACAGGCUGAGUCACCGUGAUUUGGGCCGCUGUGACUUUCGGGAUCACCGAAGGAGCUCCGGGCUGAGUUUCUCCCACCAGAGACCCUGCUGCCGUUGCCGGAAAAGUUUGCCGGUAAGGGUUUUAAUUUGUGGUUUCGGUCAUUUUGGAUUUUGAGAAGGUUUUGAUGCUGCGCGAUUUUUAUAGUUGAUCCACCGGAGAUUCUGGCCGGCGCCGGAGCUGUUGCCGGGGCCGGUUCGAAGUCGCAGCUGCUUCGUGUUGUUAUUCCGUGUUGCUUUGGUUAUUGCGAAAGUGGCUGGGAGCUGAGGUUUUGGUUGCCAUCAGUUCGGGUUGAGGCGGAAAGGACUCUGUGAGACGUUUGGAUUUUGGAAUUUGCAUUUUGAGGAUAUGGGCGCUGAAGUCUCAAAGAGUU